rnacentral:tRNA from 25 species
GCCCUUGAAAGAUAAUAGUAA